AGGCAGUUACUAAGAGGCCCACUUCAUUAAAUCUGCCCCCUUGAUUACAGCUAGGAUCCGUGAUCGGACGGUGGAGACAUGCGACUAGAAGUGUCUCGUAAUACAAACGGGUCUAUUAAACAUGUAAGUAAAUAAAAGUGGGGCUCAAUGAACGGUGAUUUGACUUUUGUUGGGGACUCCGUGAGAACAAACAAAGUGUGUGUGUGUGUGUUGAUGACGGUGGUGGAUCUCUUUCUCAUUUGGAACCUUCUCUUCAAGCUCCUGCACACGUGGCUCUUCUGAUCUUUCCGUUUUCAGGUCCGGGACUUGUGCUUAUUAUUCUCUUCCUUUCACACAUUUCUUUAAUUAUUUCGUCAUUUAGACUCAUUACCAUUUUUAUUUGUCGACUAGUCAUCACCCUUUUGUAUUCCGUAAUGUUAAUAUUACUGUAAACGCCUUAAACAACGUUUGUAGUUCACAAAUCAUUACUAGACUACUAACAUUUUCUUUAUUUCAGUCAAAUCAGCUGCUUUUUCUCAG